rnacentral:rRNA from 1 species
GACGUAGGAUGCAAGCGUUGUCCGGAAUUACUGGGCGUAAAGCGCACGUAGGCGGCUUUGUAAGUUAGAGGUGAAAGCCCGGGGCUCAACCCCGGAAUAGCCUUUAAGACUGCAUCGCUUGAACACGGGAGAGGUGAGUGGAAUUCCGAGUGUAGAGGUGAAAUUCGUAGAUAUUCGGAAGAACACCAGUGGCGAAGGCGGCUCACUGGACCGUUGUUGACGCUGAGGUGCGAAAGCGUGGGGAGCAAACAGG